rnacentral:rRNA from 1 species
AAUCAACGCUGGCGGCGUGCCUCAGACAUGCAAGUCGAACGCGAAAGUUCCCUUCGGGGGAUGAGUAGAGUGGCGCACGGGUGAGUAACACGUAGGUAAUCUACCUUCGGAUGGGGAAUAACAACCGGAACGGUUGCUAAUACCGCAUAAUGCAGCGGCACCUAAUGGUGACAGUUGUUAAAGCGGGGGAUCGAAAGACCUCGCGUCUGAAGAGGAGCCUGCGGCGGAUUAGCAGUUGGUAGGGUAACGGCCUACCAAGGCUACGAUCCGUAGCCGGCCUGAGAGGGCGGUCGGCCACACUGACACUGACAGUACGGGUCAGACUCC